UAAGGUGGUUAUUGCGGCGGGGCUCACCUCUUCCCAUCCCGAACAGAGAAGUUAAGCCCGCCUGCGCAGAUGGUACUGCAAUUUUGUGGGAGAGUAUGUCGUCGCCUUUC
rnacentral:rRNA from 2 species